AGCUUCCGGUAACGGUGCGGCGAGUGUGACGAUGCUCAGUCUGCCUGUCUCUCGAUUGGCUUGCUUCGAUAGUGGGAUGAUAGCUAAAAUUAGGCUGCUUCUGCCGACAGAUCUGUCAUGCCCGCGCAACGUUUGAGUGAUCGGUAAUGGACGAGGAAUUAGGCUAAUCGGCAAGUUCAUUAGAUAGACACAGAAUCGAUUCAAAGACGAUAGGCACGUUGUAAAAGAGCGCCGAAGACACGUCGAGCCGGUGUCCAACACCACAGACUCGCAUAGUUUUUCUCGACCUGAGGACAACGAAGCAGCGGCCCCAGGAUUGCCAAACACUUUCAAAUUUUAUUUUGGGAGCGCCACCUGCGGACCUGUAUUAGAGAACGUGUGUUCUACGCAUAUGCGAGCAUCGUUCUGGCACGUGCGAGCUUUCUGUGAACUUAUUAACCGAGGAAUUCUUUUAAAUACCAUUAUUCAGGCCAAUGAAUCAUUUCCCUAAAAUAUACCGUAACUCUCAUUGUUCUUCACUUUUAAUGUAACCAAGUAUUAUCGAAGUAAGAAUAAAAAAAAAAAAAAAAAUAAA